rnacentral:rRNA from 1 species
AUUGAACGCUGGCGGCAGGCCUAACACAUGCAAGUCGAACGAGUGGCGGACGGGUGAGUAAUGUCUGGGAAACUGCCCGAUGGAGGGGGAUAACUACUGGAAACGGUAGCUAAUACCGCAUACCAUCGGAUGUGCCCAGAUGGGAUUAGCUAGUAGGGGGGGUAAAGGCUCACCUAGGCGACGAUCCCUAGCUGGUCUGAGAGGAUGACCGGCCAAACUGGAACUGAGACACGGUCCAGACUCCUACGGGAGGCAUAAGUGGGGAAUCUUGCACAAUGGACGCAAGCCGGAUGCAGCCAUGCCGCGUGUAUGAAGAAGGCCUGCGGGUUGUAAAGUACUUUCAGCGGGGAGGCGUUACACGCAGAAGAAGCACCGGCUAACUCCGUGCCAGCAGCCGCGGUAAUUC